GUGGGCGACUCAAGAUUUUUUUUUAUCUGUUGCAAUAAUGGAGGCAUCGGAGAGGAUGCCGUUGUGGGUUUUGAACUCUCCCUAUACCUCCACAGAAAAUACCAAUCGCCAUCGCUUCAGAUAGUAAAAAAUAAAAAUAAAAAUAAUAUAGUAUAAAAAAUAAUAUAAAAAUAAAAUAAAAAUUAGCAAUCGAUUUUGCAAUCAAUAUUAAAAAUAAAAAUAAUAUAAAAUAAAAAUUAAUGA
rnacentral:lncRNA from 1 species